AGCGGUUAAGAGCACUGACUGCUCUUCCAGAGGUCCUGAGUUCAAUUCCCAGCAACCAAUCUCUGAUCUCAAGCUGGCUGCCAGGUGGAAAGGUGUGCAGACAGUCAUGCCUACAAUCACCUCAGAGAAGUAUCGGCAUCAAGUGGAAUGGGCCAUGGAUUCCAUGCGUACACAGGACCAGGAUGAGAGCACUGUGUAGAAGAUAAUUCAUGGCAUGACCACUGAACUCUGAGGUCUACUUCUCCCUGGAAGGCAGAGUGGGAAAUUACAAACUUUUUGUGACACUGGAGGGUACAGAACAGUCAUAUAGCCUGCAGGGUCUCAACACAUACUUAGACUGCCUGCAGGAGGGGUCUGGCCAAGCCACACUCCUUGUGUCUCAAUGGGCAUGAGGCAGAGGAUACCACAGUUCUGCCCCAGGGCAACCUUUGACUAGAAGGCAGCAGCCAGGCAGUAGAUGAAACAAGGGCUGCUGACGAAUAUGUGUUCAUAGAGGAGAAGGAAAAAAAGAA
rnacentral:lncRNA from 1 species